GUCUGUAUGUGAAGCUCUGUAACAUGCUUUUAAGGGGAAAAAGUAUUUUAUUUGUUUUUAUCCAGAUAUUUUACUGUUUUUAUCCAAAUUUUAAUUGGGGAUAUUUUACUGUUUUAAUCCAAAUUUUAAUUGGGGAUAUUUUACUGUUUUUAUCCAAAUUUUAAUUGGGGAUAUUUAACUGUUUUUACUGGAACAAACUGAGAGUGAGGUGGUUCAGUCUGCAUGUGAAGCUCUGUAACAUGCUUUUAAGGGGAAAAAAUAUUUUAUUUGAUUUUAUGCAAAUUUUAAUUGGGGAUAUUUUACUGUUUUUAUCCAAAUUUUAAUUGGGGAUAUUUUAUUGUUUUUACUGGAACAAACUGAGAGUGAGGUGGCUCAGUCUGCAUGUGAAGCUCUGUAACAUGCUUUUAAGGGGAAAAAGUAUUUUAUUUGUUUUUAUCCAGAUAUUUUACUGUUUUUAUCCAAAUUUUAAUUGGGGAUAUUUUACUGUUUUUAUCCAAAUUUUAAUUGGGGAUAUUUUAUUGUUUUUACUGGAACAAACUGAGAGUGAGGUGGCUCAGUCUGCAUGUGAAGCUCUGUAACAUGCUUUUAAGGGGAAAAAGUAUUUUAUUUGUUUUUAUCCAAAUUUUAAUUGGGGAUAUUUUACUGUUUUUAUCCAAAUUUUAAUUGGGGAUAUUUUACUGUUUUUAUCCAAAUCUUAAUUGGGGAUAUUUUACUGUUUUUAUCCAAAUUUUAAUUGGGAAUAUUUUACUGUUUUUACUGGAACAAACUGAGAGUGAUGGGCUCAGUCUGCAUGUGAAGCUCUGUAACAUGCUUUUAAGGGGAAAAAAGUAUUUUAUUUGAUUUUAUGCAAAUUUUAAUUGGGGAUAUUUUACUGUUUUUAUCCAAAUUUUAAUUGGCGAUAUUUUAUUGUUUUUACUGGAACAAACUGAGAGUGAGGUGGCUCAGUCUGCAUGUGAAGCUCUGUAACAUGCUUUUAAGGGGAAAAAGUAUUUUAUUUGUUUUUAUCCAAAUUUUAAUUGGGGAUAUUUUACUGUUUUAUCCAAAUUUUAAUUGGGGAUAUUUUACUGUUUUUAUCCAAAUUUUAAUUGGGGAUAUUUUACUGUUUUUAUCCAAAUUUUAAUUGGGGAUAUUUUACUGUUUUUAUCCAAAUUUUAAUUGGGGAUAUUUUACUGUUUUAUCCAAAUUUUAAUUGGGGAUAUUUUAUUGUUUUUACUGGAACAAACUGAGAGUGAGGUGGCUCAGUCUGCAUGUGAAGCUCUGUAACAUGCUUUUAAGGGGAAAAAAGUAUUUUAUUUGUUUUUAUGCAAAUUUUAAUUGGGGAUAUUUUACUGUUUUUAUCCAAAUUUUAAUUGGGGAUAUUUUAUUGUUUUUACUGGAACAAACUGAGAGUGAGGUGGCUCAGUCUGCAUGUGAAGCUCUGUAACAUGCUUUUAAGGGGAAAAAAUAUUUUAUUUGAUUUUAUGCAAAUUUUAAUUGGGGAUAUUUUACUGUUUUUAUCCAAAUUUUAAUUGGGGAUAUUUUAUUGUUUUUACUGGAACAAACUGAGAGUGAGGUGGCUCAGUCUGCAUGUGAAGCUCUGUAACAUGCUUUUAAGGGGAAAAAGUAUUUUAUUUGUUUUUAUCCAGAUAUUUUACUGUUUUUAUCCAAAUUUUAAUUGGGGAUAUUUUACUGUUUUUAUCCAAAUUUUAAUUGGGGAUAUUUUAUUGUUUUUACUGGAACAAACUGAGAGUGAGGUGGCUCAGUCUGCAUGUGAAGCUCUGUAACAUGCUUUUAAGGGGAAAAAAGUAUUUUAUUUGUUUUUAUGCAAAUUUUAAUUGGGGAUAUUUUACUGUUUUUAUCCAAAUUUUAAUUGGGGAUAUUUUAUUGUUUUUACUGGAACAAACUGAGAGUGAGGUGGCUCAGUCUGCAUGUGAAGCUCUGUAACAUGCUUUUAAGGGGAAAAAAUAUUUUAUUUGAUUUUAUGCAAAUUUUAAUUGGGGAUAUUUUACUGUUUUUAUCCAAAUUUUAAUUGGGGAUAUUUUAUUGUUUUUACUGGAACAAACUGAGAGUGAGGUGGCUCAGUCUGCAUGUGAAGCUCUGUAACAUGCUUUUAAGGGGAAAAAGUAUUUUAUUUGUUUUUAUCCAGAUAUUUUACUGUUUUUAUCCAAAUUUUAAUUGGGGAUAUUUUACUGUUUUUAUCCAAAUUUUAAUUGGGGAUAUUUUAUUGUUUUUACUGGAACAAACUGAGAGUGAGGUGGCUCAGUCUGCAUGUGAAGCUCUGUAACAUGCUUUUAAGGGGAAAAAAGUAUUUUAUUUGUUUUUAUGCAAAUUUUAAUUGGGGAUAUUUUACUGUUUUUAUCCAAAUUUUAAUUGGGGAUAUUUUAUUGUUUUUACUGGAACAAACUGAGAGUGAGGUGGCUCAGUCUGCAUGUGAAGCUCUGUAACAUGCUUUUAAGGGGAAAAAAGUAUUUAAUUUGUUUUAAUGCAAAUUUUAAUUGGGGAUAUUUUACUGUUUUUAUCCAAAUUUUAAUUGGGGAUAUUUUACUGUUUUUACUGGAACAAACUGAGAGUGAGGUGGCUCAGUCUGCAUGUUGCUCUGUAACAUGCUUUUAAGGGGGAAAAAGUAUUUUAUUUGUUUUUAUCCAAAUUUUAAUUUGGAAUAUUUUACUGUUUUUAUCCAAAUUUUAAUUUGGAAUAUUUUACUGUUUUUAUCCAAAUUUUAAUUUGGAAUAUUUUACUGUUUUUAUCCAAAUUUUAAUUGGGGAUAUUUUUAUUGUUUUUACUGGAACAAACUGAGAGUGAGGUGGCUCUGUGAGUGAGGUGAGUCUGCAUGUGAAGCUCUGUAACAUGCUUUUAAGGGGAAAAAAGUAUUUUAUUUGUUUUUAUCCAAAUUUUAAUUGGGGAUAUUUUACUGUUUUAUCCAAAUUUUAAUUGGGGAUAUUUUACUGUGUUAUCCAAAUUUUAAUUGGGGAUAUUUUACAGUUUUAUCCAAAUUUUAAUUGGGGAUAUUUUAUUUUAUCCAAAUUUUAAUUGGGGAUAUUUUACUGUUUUUACGGGAACAAACUGAGAGUGAGGUAGCUCAGUCUGCAUGUGAAUCUCUGUAACAUGCUUUUAAGGGGAAAAAAGUAUUUUAUUUGUUUUUAUCCAAAUUUUAAUUAGGGAUAUUUUACUGUUUUUAUCCAAAUUUUAAUUGGGGAUAUUUUACUGUUUUUAUCCAAAUUUUAAUUGAGGGAUAUUUUACUGUUUGUAUCCAAAUUUUAAUUGGGGAUAUUUUUCUGCAUUUAUCCAAAUUUUAAUCGGAUAUUUUAUUGUUUUUAUCUAAAUUUUAAUUAGGGAUAUUUUACUGUUUUUAUCUAAAUUUUAAUUGGAGAUAUUUUACUGUUUUUAUCCUAAUUUAUAAGUUGAGGCAGGUCAUUUUAUGAUUAUUUGGGAAAUGAGAGACUUUUUACAUUAUUUUAUCCAUUUGGGUGUGGGGGACAAAGGGAAUAUUUUACUUUUAAGACCAAAUUUUUAAUUUAUACAGGAGACCUUUUUUUUUAUCUUUUUUAGUUAAAUGUUGAGCCCCCAAGUCAAAUCAAAGACUUAAAAACUGGUACUCCAAAAGGAAAAGAUAGGUGACCUACUGUGGGCAUUUGUCUUGGUGAACUAGCACCUUAAAGUCCAGCUAACCCACAGGCCGGCUGGCUAGUACAAGCAGACAGGUAUUUUUAAUACCAUUUGGCAUUUUUAAACUUUGGCAUUUUUCAUUUGGCUUUUUGUUUUAUGUGUUUUUGAACUAUUUGGAUUUAUACCAUUUGUCAAUUUUCAUUUAUGUUUUUUUCAUUUUUUUCAACAUAUUUUGUAAUCAACACACCAAAAACACUUCAAAAUUAAGAGUGGGAUAUAUACUUUUUGGCCUCCAUAAUG